rnacentral:lncRNA from 1 species
CUUAGAGUGCAUUUGUUUCUAACCCGAAAUUUUGUCAUCGAUGACUAUCGUUUAGUAAACGUUAAGCUGCUAGAAACAAAUACAUCGUUUAAUAAACUUUAUCGACCCCGCGUAGUCAGACAGAAAUAGAUUACACUCACGCACUGUAAACAAACAGGUAAAAGUGCGGGAAAUAAAUAACCAGGACUUUAUGAAAACAAC